rnacentral:rRNA from 1 species
AUUGAACGCUGGCGGCAUGCUUUACACAUGCAAGUCGAACGGUAACAGGCCGCAAGGUGCUGACGAGUGGCGAACGGGUGAGUAAUGCAUCGGAACGUGCCCAGUCGUGGGGGAUAACUACUCGAAAGAGUAGCUAAUACCGCAUACGAUCUAUGGAUGAAAGCGGGGGACCGUAAGGCCUCGCGCGAUUGGAGCGGCCGAUGUCGGAUUAGGUAGUUGGUGGGGUAAAGGCUCACCAAGCCAACGAUCUGUAGCUGGUCUGAGAGGGCGACCAGCCACACUGGGACUGGGACACGGCCCAGGCUCCUACGGGAGGCAGCAGUGGGGAAUGUUGGACAAUGGGCGCAAGCCUGAUCCAGCAAUGCCGCGUGCAGGAAGAAGGCCUUCGGGUUGUAAACUGCUUUUGUACGGAACGAAACGGCUCUGGUUAAUACCCGGGGCUAAUGACGGUACCGUAAGAAUAAGCACCGGCUAACUACGUG